UGGCGGACGGGUGAGUAAUGCUUAGGAAUCUGCCUAUUAGUGGGGGACAACGUUCCGAAAGGAACGCUAAUACCGCAUACGCCCUACGGGGGAAAGCAGGGGAUCUUCGGACCUUGCGCUAAUAGAUGAGCCUAAGUCGGAUUAGCUAGUUGGUGGGGUAAAGGCCUACCAAGGCGACGAUCUGUAGCGGGUCUGAGAGGAUGAUCCGCCACACUGGGACUGAGACACGGCCCAGACUCCUACGGGAGGCAGCAGUGGGGAAUAUUGGACAAUGGGCGCAAGCCUGAUCCAGCCAUGCCGCGUGUGUGAAGAAGGCCUUUUGGUUGUAAAGCACUUUAAGCGAGGAGGAGGCUCCUUUAGUUAAUACCUAAAGUGAGUGGACGUUACUCGCAGAAUAAGCACCGGCUAACUCUGUGCCAGCAGCCGCGGUAAUACAGAGGGUGCGAGCGUUAAUCGGAUUUACUGGGCGUAAAGCGUGCGUAGGCGGCUUUUUAAGUCGGAUGUGAAAUCCCUGAGCUUAACUUAGGAAUUGCAUUUGAUACUGGAAAGCUAGAGUAUGGGAGAGGAUGGUAGAAUUCCAGGUGUAGCGGUGAAAUGCGUAGGGAUCUGGAGGAAUACCGAUGGCGAAGGCAGCCAUCUGGCCUAAUACUGACGCUGAGGUACGAAAGCAUAGGGAGCAAACAGGAUUAGAUACCCUGGUAGUCCAUGCCGUAAACGAUGUCUACUAGCCGUUGGGGCCUUUGAGGCUUUAGUGGCGCAGCUAACGCGAUAAGUAGACC
rnacentral:rRNA from 1 species